rnacentral:rRNA from 15 species
GAGGUUCCUGGAAAUAGCUCCAUCGCUAGAUCGUACCCUAAACCGACACAGGUGGACUGGUAGAGAAUACCAAGGCGCUUGAGAGAACUAUGUUGAAGGAACUCGGCAAAAUACCUCCGUAAGUUCGCGAGAAGGAGGCCCAGUUUCUAGGCAACUAGAGGCUGGGGGCACAAACCAGGGGGUGGCGACUGUUUAUUAAAAACACAGGGCUCUGCGAAGUCGUAAGACGACGUAUAGGGUCUGAC